UGUUCUUGAUUGUAGAGGAGAGGAAUAGGAUAUAGAUAGAUAGAUAGAUAGAUAGAUAGAUAGAUAGAUAGAUAGAUAGAUAGCAGGGGUUUGCGAAGAGAGGGGUCAUGAGGGAGGAAAGAGCCCCUUCAGGAGAAGGAGGCUGCCAUUGUGCGAAUUAGAUGAGGAAACGAGAUGAACAAGAUCUGUUAACUCAGGAAAGGAGAGAGAGAAAGAGAGAGAGAGAAAGAAGGGAGGAGAAGAAAGACAGAGGGGAGGAGAGAGAAAGAGAGAGAGAAAAGGGAGGGGAAGAGAGAAAGAAGGAAGGGGAAGGGCCCAAGCCUGUCAGAGGCCUGAGGGGAAUGAACGGCCAUGGCGGUGCCUACUGGCAGCAAAGAAGGGCCCAGUCAACCACUUCUGCUGUUUGGGGCUACCAAAGCCAUUGGUGGAAGGAGGCAGGCAGGCAAGGGACAGGCCCGGGCCUGUCAGCAGCCUGAGGGGAAUGAGCGGCCAUGGUGGUGGUGACAACGAGGAAGGGCCCGGUCAACUGCUGCUGCUGCUGCUCCUGUGGGGAGGGCCAAUAGGCGCCAGCAACGCUGUAGCCGCGACCAAGAGAGGUGAGGGGGAUGGAAGCAACUGGAUGGAGGAGGAGGAGCAGGAGUUCUGCUCAGGAUGUAAGGGAACCAGAAUUUAAGGUCUAUCAAAGGGGGUGAUUCUUUCCUAUACCCACUGUAUCGUCCUCUCUCUCUAGGCUGAGCAGAUGGAAUGGAAGACAGGGCUCCUGUACCUUUAGCAGUUGUAUAAAACAACAGAUUUUAGCAGAUUCAGCUUACUAUGCAGAGGUGAGAAAAGUGGAACCUGCUGAGAUUCCCUCUACUACACAACUAUUAAAAACAACAGAGGGCUGAUUUCAUUUGCAUCUGGUAACCUUCACUCCACCAGAUGAGGUUGAUGCCAUGCAGAGGUGUAUCAAGAUUCAAACGGGUCCUGGAACAAAAAGUGAAGGUGCGCCCUGUCAAGUCCUGAGCUUGGGACUGGGAGAUUAGUGAUUAAAAUAUAUAGAUGUUGAAAUAAACAAUCUGCUCGUGGCCCUUUGA